UAUGAUGUAGUUUUUUUUUUUCUGCUCAGGAUGAACGCUGGCGGCGUGCUUAACACAUGCAAGUCGAACGAUGACUUUUGUGCUUGCACAGAAUGAUUAGUGGCGAACGGGUGAGUAACACGUGAGUAACCUGCCCUUGACUUCGGGAUAAGCCUGGGAAACUGGGUCUAAUACCGGAUAUGCACCGUGGACCGCAUGGUUCUUGGUGGAAAGAUUUUUUGGUCAGGGAUGGACUCGCGGCCUAUCAGCUUGUUGGUGAGGUAAUGGCUCACCAAGGCGACGACGGGUAGCCGGCCUGAGAGGGUGACCGGCCACACUGGGACUGAGACACGGCCCAGACUCCUACGGGAGGCAGCAGUGGGGAAUAUUGCACAAUGGGCGAAAGCCUGAUGCAGCGACGCCGCGUGAGGGAUGACGGCCUUCGGGUUGUAAACCUCUUUCAGUAGGGAAGAAGCGAAAGUGACGGUACCUGCAGAAGAAGCGCCGGCUAACUACGUGCCAGCAGCCGCGGUAAUACGUAGGGCGCAAGCGUUAUCCGGAAUUAUUGGGCGUAAAGAGCUCGUAGGCGGUUUGUCGCGUCUAUCGUGAAAGUCCGAGGCUCAACCUCGGAUCUGCGGUGGGUACGGGCAGACUAGAGUGAUGUAGGGGAGACUGGAAUUCCUGGUGUAGCGGUGAAAUGCGCAGAUAUCAGGAGGAACACCGAUGGCGAAGGCAGGUCUCUGGGCAUUAACUGACGCUGAGGAGCGAAAGCAUGGGGAGCGAACAGGAUUAGAUACCCUGGUAGUCCAUGCCGUAAACGUUGGGCACUAGGUGUGGGGGACAUUCCACGUUUUCCGCGCCGUAGCUAACGCAUUAAGUGCCCCGCCUGGUAACUGGC
rnacentral:rRNA from 1 species